AAUGAAUGGAAAAAUGAGUCUUAUGAUGUGCUAUUCUUGUAUUUUAUCAUGUUUGUUUCUCAUCUGCCUACCAGGGUGUUUCACGGAGUCUCCCAAUGCAGUUUCUGCAUAGCGUGGUAGAAAUAUUAGAGAACAACAAGAAAGAAGAUGAUGGAUUCAUUCCCUGUUCAUGCACCAGGAACUCACUGUGCAAAACCCCAUAAUCUAAAGUGGGCCUCCCCACUGUAAUUAAGAGAAGCACGGAAUGAAAAAGGCUGCUGCUCUCGCACAGUGUACCUUCUACUCUCUUUUAUUUGCUGCACAAACCAAUGUGUCCGGAUGAACCUUCCAGGCCUUGAUUCCAAGAGACACUUCUGCCAUCUUUCUCACCACUUUCUGAAGUCGUUCUGGAAGUCCUCUGUAGUCACGCUGUCCUGGCUGCCUCGAUGUCCCGAAUCAGUUCAGACACUGAAUCGAUUCAGUUCACUUUCCGUGGUCAUUUUGACUUUGAGAAGAACCAGAAGUUGCACGCUUCCAGAUCCAGUGGAUAAGGAUCAAACACAGAGCCUCGGGCAUGCCAGAUGA
rnacentral:lncRNA from 1 species